GACCGUUUGUGGCAUAGUGGUUUGAGCAUGACACUAUGACUGUGGAGACCAGGGUUCAAUUCUCAGCUUGGCCA